rnacentral:rRNA from 1 species
GAUGAACGCUGGCGGCGUGCCUAAUACAUGCAAGUCGAGCGAACAGACGAGGAGCUUGCUCCUCUGACGUUAGCGGCGGACGGGUGAGUAACACGUGGAUAACCUACCUAUAAGACUGGGAUAACUUCGGGAAACCGGAGCUAAUACCGGAUAAUAUAUUGAACCGCAUGGUUCAAUAGUGAAAGACGGUUUUGCUGUCACUUAUAGAUGGAUCCGCGUCGCAUUAGCUAGUUGGUAAGGUAACGGCUUACCAAGGCAACGAUUCGUAGCCGACCUGAGAGGGUGAUAGGCCACACUGGAACUGAGACACGGUCCAGACUCCUACGAGAGGCAGCAGGAGGGAAUCUUCCGCAAUGGGCGAAAGCCUGACGGAGCAACGCCGCGUGAGUGAUGAAGGUCUUCGGAUCGUAAAACUCUGUUAUUAGGGAAGAACAAAUGUGUAAGUAACUAUGCACGUCUUGACGGUACCUAAUCAGAAAGCCACGGCUAACUACGUG